ensembl:antisense Zim3 zinc finger, imprinted 3
GAGAUGGACGGAGCGCCUUGCAGACCUCAGGAAAACCUCCCCACGCCUGUCCGGCCUUGGCUUGGUGACAGGGAAACUGGCUGGACUCGAGACCCCGGGACCUUCCGUGGAGAUGGUAAACCACUAACUACCCUUGGCUGCUGCAGACUAAAGGACGAGGGCUUAGAGGUCGCGGCCCGCCGGAGGAACACACCACACAGACACUGCCUACGAAGAUCAUCUUCUAAGACAACAGAAAAUGUAGCUUAAUAUUCUUCAUGAGGAAGAUGGAAGCCUCACCUCAACAUAUUUGUUCCAUCACCCUUACUGACCUAGGGCUUGCUUGUGUGGCAAGAACAGCCUCGACAGAUGCACAGACUCCUGAUCUGUGAAGGCUAGGUGGUAAAGGCCAGGCAUAGCGGUACUUGCCUAUGAUUUCAGUACUUGUGAAGUGGAGAUCGAAAGAUCAGGAGUUUGAGGUCAUCCCAGCCCUAUAGUAAGUAUGAGGCCAGCCUGGAUUACAUGUGACCUUGUCUCAAAAAAGACCAAAACCAACAAUAAAAAACUUCCCUGAAAUG